rnacentral:rRNA from 1 species
UACAGAGGGGGCAAGCGUUGUUCGGAAUUACUGGGCGUAAAGGGCGCGUAGGCGGCCUGCUAAGUCGAACGUGAAAUCCCUGGGCUCAACCCAGGAACUGCGUCCGAUACUGGUUGGCUUGAAUCCGGGAGAGGGAUGUGGAAUUCCAAGUGUAGCGGUGAAAUGCGUAGAUAUCUGCAGGAACACCCGUGGCGAAAGCGGCGCGCUGGACCACUACUGACGCUGAGGAACGAAAGCUAGGGGAGCAAACAGG